rnacentral:rRNA from 1 species
CACGUAGGGCGCAAGCGUUGUCCGGAAUUAUUGGGCGUAAAGAGCUCGUAGGCGGUUCGUCACGUCGGCUGUGAAAACCUGAGGCUCAACCUCAGGCCUGCAGUCGAUACGGGCGGACUCGAGUUCGGCAGGGGAGACUGGAAUUCCUGGUGUAGCGGUGAAAUGCGCAGAUAUCAGGAGGAACACCGGUGGCGAAGGCGGGACUCUGGGCCGAUACUGACGCUGAGGAGCGAAAGCGUGGGGAGCAAACAGG